AGUUGUUCAGGAAGUUACAACCCUUUCAUGCAUGACGUCCAUAUUUGUGGACACAAAGUUACGGCUCACUUUCCAAAGAGUUCUAAAGGCAAUAUUCUCCAAACCACAUGCGGUCAGUCUCUAUAGACCCUAAGCAACAGAAUGAACAAAAGGAUCAUUUUAGUUGUAGAAUGUGGACUGAUCUGUGAUCUCCUGAAGUUAACCU